rnacentral:rRNA from 1 species
AACGGCCGUACCAUGCUGAAUAUACCGGUUCUCGUUAGAUCACCGAAGUUAAGCAUCAUUGGGCGCGGUCAGUACUUGGGUGGGUGACCGUGGGAACACUGCGUGCCGUU